rnacentral:rRNA from 1 species
UACGGGGAGAGCAAGCGUUGUUCGGAUUUACUGGGCGUAAAGGGCGCGUAGGCGGCGUAACAAGUCACUUGUGAAAUCUCCGGGCUUAACCCGGAGCGGCCAAGUGAUACUGUUGUGCUAGAGUGCGGAAGGGGCUACUGGAAUUCUCGGUGUAGCGGUGAAAUGCGUAGAUAUCGAGAGGAACACCUGCGGCGAAGGCGGGUAGCUGGGCCGACACUGACGCUGAGGCGCGAAAGCCAGGGGAGCGAACGGG